AAAUACUACCCAGUGACCGAUAGCGUAUAGUACUGUGAAGGAAAGGUGAAAAGCACCCCGGGAGGGGAGUGAAAAAGAACCUGAAACCCUGUGCCUACAAGCACCUAGAGCACGUCAAUGUGUGAUAGGGUACUUUUUGUAGAACGGUCCGGCGAGCGAUUGUAUGCAGCAAGGUUAAGGACUUAAGGUCUGGAGCCGAAGCGAAAGCGAGUUUGAAAAGGGCGUUAAGUUGCAUACAAUGGGCCCGAAACCGGGUGACCUACCCAUGGUCAGGUUGAAGUGGAAGUAAAAUUCCAUGGAGGACCGAACCGACCUCCGUUGAAAAGGCGGCGGAUGAACUGUGGGUAGCGGAGAAAUUCCAAUCGAACCCGGAGAUAGCUGGUUCUCCCCGAAAUAGUUUUAGGACUAGCCUCAAGUUAGAUACCUGGAGGUAAAGCACUGAAUAGCCUAGCGGCCGAGAGGUUAGCGAAGCUUAUCAAACUCAGAAUGCCAGAGUAUUGAUGCUUGGGAGUCAGACAGUGUCAGAUAAAUGUCAUUGUCAAAAGGGAAACAGCCCAGAUCUACAGCUAAGGUCCCAAAGUCAGGUUAAGUGGAAAACGAUGUGAAGAUACGUAGACAACCAGGAUGUUGGCUCAGAAGCAGCCACUCAUUCAAAGAGUGCGUAAUAGCUCACUGGUCGAGCGUCUUUGCGCGGAGAAUUUAACGGGGCUAAACCUGACACCGAAGCUUAGGCAAUACAGCAAUGUAUUGGGUAGGGGAGCGUUGUAUACGCGGUGAAACAGUAGCGCAAGCGGCUGUGGAGUGUAUAGAAGUGAGAAUGCCGGAAUGAGUAGCGCGAAUGCAGUGAGAAUCUGCAUGGCCGAAAGCCUCAGGUUUCUGGAGGAAGGUUCGUCCGCUCCAGGUUAGUCGGGAGCUAAGGUGAGGCCUAACGGCGUAGCCGAUGCACAGACGGUAGAGAUUCCGUCACCACCAAAAGAGUUAAGCACAGGGACACAUAUGAAGUCUCAGAGCCGGGUGUUGGUUCCGGUAGAGAUCGAGGGAAAUUAGUACCGAAGUCUGAGAUGGAAGAUGGCGAGAAAAGCUGUGUGUAUUUCUGAGGUGCCCGUACCGCAAACCGACACAGGUAGGUAGGAAGAAGAUUCUAAGGCCAACGGGAGAAGGGUUGUUAAGGAACUCGGCAAGUUGACCCCGUAACUUCGGAAUAAGGGGAGCCUCGAAAGAGGCCGCAGUGAAUAGGCCCAAGCAACUGUUUACCAAAAACACAGGUUUAUGCUAAAUCGAAAGAUGACGUAUAUGAGCUGACGCCUGCCCGGUGCCGGAAGGUUAAGAGGAGAUGUCAGGCAACGAAGCAUUGAAUUGAAGCCCCGGUAAACGGCGGCCGUAACUAUAACGGUCCUAAGGUAGCGAAAUUCCUUGUCAGGUAAGUUCUGACCCGCACGAAAGGCGUAAUGAUUUGGGCACUGUCUCAACAGCCCGCCCGGCGAAAUUGUAGUACCGGUGAAGAUGCCGGUUACCCGCGACAAGACGGAAAGACCCCAUGGAGCUUUACUGUAGCCUAAUAUUGGGUUUCGAUGUUGCAUGCACAGGAUAGAUGGGACACAGGGAAACAAGUGCUUUGGCAUUUGUGGAGUGGCCGUUGGGAUACCAUCCUUGCGAUAUUGGAAUUCUAACCUGCGCCUUUGAAUCAAGGCGGGGGACAUUGUUAGGUGGGCAGUUUGACUGGGGCGGUCGCCUCCUAAAGAGUAACGGAGGCGUUCAAAGGUUCGCUCAGCUUGAACGGAAAUCAAGCAAAAGAGUGCAAACGCAGAAGCGAGCCUAACUGCGAGACUGACGGGUCGAGCAGUAACGAAAGUUGGAGUUAGUGAUCCGGUGGUAUGUGAGUGGAAAUGCCAUCGCUCAACGGAUAAAAGCUACCCUGGGGAUAACAGGCUGAUCUCCCCCAAGAGUCCACAUCGACGGGGAGGUUUGGCACCUCGAUGUCGGCUCAUCGCAUCCUGGGGCUGUAGUCGGUCCCAAGGGUUGGGCUGUUCGCCCAUUAAAGCGGUACGCGAGCUGGGUUCAGAACGUCGUGAGACAGUUCGGUCCCUAUCUGUCGUGGGCGCAGGAUAUUUGAUGGGAGCUGUCCCUAGUACGAGAGGACCGGGACGGACGUACCUCUGGCGCACCAGUUGUUCCGCCAGGAGCAUAGCUGGGCAACUACGUACGGAUCGGAUAAACGCUGAAAGCAUCUAAGCGUGAAGCCGACCCAAAGAUAAGAUAUCCCAUUGU
rnacentral:rRNA from 1 species